rnacentral:rRNA from 1 species
UACGGAGGGUGCGAGCGUUGUCCGGAAUCAUUGGGCGUAAAGGGCGCGUAGGUGGCGGCUUAAGCGUGCGGUGAAAGCUCGGGGCUCAACCCCGAGUCGGCCGUGCGAACUGAGUCGCUUGAGCACUGUAGAGGCAGGCGGAAUUCCGGGUGUAGCGGUGGAAUGCGUAGAUAUCAGGAGGAACAUCGAUGGCGAAGGCAGCCCCUUGGACCUGUACUGACGCUCAUGCACGAAAGCGUGGGGAGCAAACAGG